GAUACUAAAAUGGUAGAGGACCCUAAGAUGGCAUACACAGACCUAGAUAAUCUUCAAAUGGUGUUUUGAACGAAGAGUGUUUGGUCUUGCAUUGUGAUGGCGUCUGAGUGUUGGCUUGGUCUCUGUUGGCUUGCUACAUAUCUAGAAAGCUCCAUGAUUUGUGCUAAGCUGAAGCGUAUCCAAUUUGGAUUUUCCAGCUCAAAAUAUCAGUAGAUUUGUUGUGGUAGUACCUUAACAGGAAUUGAGGCUUCUCCAUUCAGGAAAAGACAAGUCUGGUAGAUACAAAAAUUACAAGAUCGCAA